CAACGCUCAGAUUGAACGCUGGCGGCAGGCCUAACACAUGCAAGUCGAGCGGAAACGAGUUAUCUGAACCUUCGGGGGACGAUAACGGCGUCGAGCGGCGGACGGGUGAGUAAUGCCUAGGAAAUUGCCCUGAUGUGGGGGAUAACCAUUGGAAACGAUGGCUAAUACCGCAUGAUGCCUACGGGCCAAAGAGGGGGACCUUCGGGCCUCUCGCGUCAGGAUAUGCCUAGGUGGGAUUAGCUAGUUGGUGAGGUAAGGGCUCACCAAGGCGACGAUCCCUAGCUGGUCUGAGAGGAUGAUCAGCCACACUGGAACUGAGACACGGUCCAGACUCCUACGGGAGGCAGCAGUGGGGAAUAUUGCACAAUGGGCGCAAGCCUGAUGCAGCCAUGCCGCGUGUGUGAAGAAGGCCUUCGGGUUGUAAAGCACUUUCAGUCGUGAGGAAGGUAGUGUAGUUAAUAGCUGCAUUAUUUGACGUUAGCGACAGAAGAAGCACCGGCUAACUCCGUGCCAGCAGCCGCGGUAAUACGGAGGGUGCGAGCGUUAAUCGGAAUUACUGGGCGUAAAGCGCAUGCAGGUGGUUUGUUAAGUCAGAUGUGAAAGCCCGGGGCUCAACCUCGGAAUUGCAUUUGAAACUGGCAGACUAGAGUACUGUAGAGGGGGGUAGAAUUUCAGGUGUAGCGGUGAAAUGCGUAGAGAUCUGAAGGAAUACCGGUGGCGAAGGCGGCCCCCUGGACAGAUACUGACACUCAGAUGCGAAAGCGUGGGGAGCAAACAGGAUUAGAUACCCUGGUAGUCCACGCCGUAAACGAUGUCUACUUGGAGGUUGUGGCCUUGAGCCGUGGCUUUCGGAGCUAACGCGUUAAGUAGACCGCCUGGGGAGUACGGUCGCAAGAUUAAAACUCAAAUGAAUUGACGGGGGCCCGCACAAGCGGUGGAGCAUGUGGUUUAAUUCGAUGCAACGCGAAGAACCUUACCUACUCUUGACAUCCAGAGAACUUUCCAGAGAUGGAUUGGUGCCUUCGGGAACUCUGAGACAGGUGCUGCAUGGCUGUCGUCAGCUCGUGUUGUGAAAUGUUGGGUUAAGUCCCGCAACGAGCGCAACCCUUAUCCUUGUUUGCCAGCGAGUAAUGUCGGGAACUCCAGGGAGACUGCCGGUGAUAAACCGGAGGAAGGUGGGGACGACGUCAAGUCAUCAUGGCCCUUACGAGUAGGGCUACACACGUGCUACAAUGGCGCAUACAGAGGGCGGCCAACUUGCGAAAGUGAGCGAAUCCCAAAAAGUGCGU
rnacentral:rRNA from 1 species